rnacentral:ncRNA from 2 species
AUAAUUGAAAUAGCGCAUGAGUGUUAUAAAACACUGACGAGGAUAACAAGUGUCGAACUUUCAGCGGAUCUUGUUACGGAGUUUGGUAUUAUACGUAAAGUAUGUUUUAAAAAUUCAAAUCGAAGAUGAAUACAAAGAACAUACUAAAUACUUAA